CGUGCAGAAAACCCGGAAAACUCCCGUUCUGGCGAGGAGAGAACCCACAACGAACGCCCAGUGUUUAGGGAAUGGAACCGCUUGGCCACUGAUGGGCCUAUUAAUAUUAAUUCUAAAAUAUAGAACAAUUGUUUGAAGAUAAUUGUUUGGGGGAUUUUUUCAUCAUAAAAAUUAAAAAGAAAAUGUUCAAACAUAUUUAACAGAAUAUUAUGAAUUGUCAUAACGUAAUGAGGAGGAUCCAGGAGGCCCGGGCUUCUCUUAAUUUUAUAAAUAAGUUAAAGGAAAUAUUAAAUAAUACAGCUCUAGUGGCAGAUCGAAAAGUCCCAGGAAUUUUUUAUGGGGUAGUUUGUCCUGAAUUCGUAGGGCCUCCUUUCAUACCCUUCGGCCGCCCCAUUGCGGGCCUGGAGGAACUCAGAAUAAGCUUGAAAAAGAGCCCUCUUAGUGUCCACAGCGUAGGAGGUAAAAAUAUGUCGGUUUGCACGCUUUAAUUCAGACCUCCCGUAAUAUAACGGCAAUUUAUUUAAAAUAUCAUUAAAGAUU